rnacentral:rRNA from 1 species
CAAUAGCGUAUAUUAAAGUUGUUGCAGUUAAAAAGCUCGUAGUUGGAUUUCUGGUAUGAUGCACCUGGUCCGGGCUCUUUAGAGUCUCGUGUAUCGGUUCGUGCGUCUACCAUCCUGUCUGACAAUGUUGCCUACCCUUCACUGGGCCGGGCACAUCAUCAGACUCGUUUACUUUGAAAAAAUUAGAGUGUUCAAAGCAGGCAUUAGCGCUUUGUAUACAUUAGCAUGGAAUAAUAAGAUAGGACUUCGGCUCUAUUUUGUUGGUUUCUAGGACUGAAGUAAUGAUUGAUAGGGACGGUUGGGGGUGCUUGUAUUUAACGGCCAGAGGUGAAAUUCUUGGAUUCGUUAAAGACAAACUUAUGCGAAAGCAUUCACCAAGGACGUCUUCGUUA